rnacentral:rRNA from 1 species
AACGAACGCUGGCGGCAGGCCUAACACAUGCAAGUCGAACGAAGUCUUCGGACUUAGUGGCGCACGGGUGAGUAACACGUGGGAAUAUACCUUACGCUGGGGGAUAACAUCGGGAAACUGAUGCUAAUACCGCAUACGACCUUCGGGGGAAAGAUUUAUCGGCGAAAGAUUAGCCCGCGUCCGAUUAGCUAGUUGGUGAGGUAAUGGCUCACCAAGGCGCCGAUCGGUAGCUGGUCUGAGAGGAUGACCAGCCACACUGGGACUGAGACACGGCCCAGACUCCUACGGGAGGCAGCAGUGGGGAAUAUUGGACAAUGGGCGCAAGCCUGAUCCAGCCAUGCCGCGUGAGUGAUGAAGGCCUUAGGGUUGUAAAGCUCUUUCACCCACGACGAUGAUGACGGUAGUGGGAGAAGAAGCCCCGGCUAACUUCGUGCCAGCCGCCGCCGUAA